UACGUAGGGUGCGAGCGUUGCCCGGAUUUAUUGGGCGUAAAGCGCACGUAGGCGGCUUCGCAAGUCCCAUGUGAAAGCCCACGGCUUAACCGUGGAAGUGCAUGGGAAACUGCAGAGCUUGAGUACUUAAGAGGAUCGCGGAAUUCCCGGUGUAGAGGUGAAAUUCGUAGAUAUCGGGAGGAACACCAGUGGCGAAGGCGGCGAUCUGGGAAGAUACUGACGCUGAGGUGCGAAAGCGUGGGGAGCAAACAGG
rnacentral:rRNA from 1 species